rnacentral:tRNA from 1 species
UAUGUUUUAGUAUACGAUGUAUAAAGAUUUUUGAUAUCUUGGGAAAUAGUUUGACUCUAUUAAACAUAA